UACGGAGGGUGCAAGCGUUAUCCGGAUUCACUGGGUUUAAAGGGUGCGUAGGUGGGUUGGUAAGUCAGUGGUGAAAUCCCCGAGCUUAACUUGGGAACUACCAUUGAUACUAUCAGUCUUGAAUAUUGUGGAGGUUAGCGGAAUAUGUCAUGUAGCGGUGAAAUGCUUAGAUAUGACAUAGAACACCAAUUGCGAAGGCAGCUGGCUACGCAUAUAUUGACACUGAGGCACGAAAGCGUGGGGAUCAAACAGG
rnacentral:rRNA from 1 species